UUGCCCAGGUGGUGGAAUUGGUAGACACAAGGGACUUAAAAUCCCUCGGUAGCAAUACCGUG
rnacentral:tRNA from 1 species